rnacentral:rRNA from 1 species
AGAGUGAACGCUGGCGGCAGGCCUAACACAUGCAAGUCGAACGGCAGCACAGGGGAGCUUGCUCCCUGGGUGGCGAGUGGCGGACGGGUGAGGACAACGUCGGAAUCUGCCUUUUUGUGGGGGAUAACGUAGGGAAACUUACGCUAAUACCGCAUACGACCCCAGGCCGGGAGGUUCGGGGUGAAAGCGGAGGACCUUCGGGCUUCGCGCAGAGAGAUGAGCCGACGUCGGAUUAGCUAGUUGGUGGGGUAAAGGCCCACCAAGGCGACGAUCCGUAGCUGGUCUGAGAGGAUGAUCAGCCACACUGGAACUGAGACACGGUCCAGACUCCUACGGGAGGCAGCAGUGGGAAUAUUGGACAAUGGGCGCAAGCCUGAUCCAGCCAUGCCGCGUGUGUGAAGAAGGCCUUCGGGUUAGUAAAGCUACUUUUUGGUGGGUAAGAAAAGCAACGUCGGUUAAGUACCCGGGUGUUCGUGAACGGUACCCAAAGAAUAAGCACCGUCUAACGUUCGU